AGGUGACGUAAUAUGAAGAGCUAAAAAGUCCGCUUACGGAAGUAGUGGCGUGGAUGGACUGCACAAUCAUUUGAAGGACUUUCACCCCAAAGGGCAGCUACCCUCCUCUAUAGAGAAGUCAGAGUGCAGCGCAGCUUGAGUUUCUCAAGGACGCUCCAUCAGGAUACAGAAGGUGCUUGAACUGAAGUCAUCUGCUGAAGGAUGGCCUCCUUCGUUUUUACUGUGCCACCCUGCUGAACCUCGGGUGUCACGGUGAUGUAUUAGCUUAGAUACACUGGACAAAAAGCUCUUUGUGUGUAUGUUAUAAUGCAGAAUGGAUGAAGGAUACAGGUGAAUUUAAUGCCAGCAUGGAUUUACACUCCACUGAACCUCAAGAGUAAUAUUUUUGAAACCAACAGCACAUGUAGUGCUAAAUAAUCUCUUAACUCCCUAAAAACUAAAUAUUUUUCGGUAUUUUGAGUAGAAGCAGGAAAUAAAAUCACUUGCAGUUCUUUAUCAAAGUGUGAAGCAUCUUCUGAAAUGUAAAGCAUGAAUCUAGAUUUCCUCACUAGGGCUUUCAGUGGAUUUCCCAGAGAAACACUACACCUGGUUAUUCUGUGUGUUUGAUUAUUUAUAACCACAACCUUCAUGAGGAAAUCUAAUCUGCAGGACGCCAGCAGGUCUGUGUGUCCUCUGCAGUGAAAGUGAUUUUGCUGAAAUGGAUCUAAAUAGGUCACGUAGGCAUGCUGUAAGCAAUUAAAACAAUAAUUUACCAAAGAGCUGUGUGUGUUUUCGGGAUUUUCAUGCAUAAACUAGUUUUCCCCAAACGAGAAAUUUGCACAUGAGGAAAACGCUCAAAAGAAAUGUUUUCAAUUUUUUUCCACUGAACAUGCAAGGUGCAACAAGGGGUUUCGUUAGCUUCACAAAGAAUUAUAUUCUCCUUUAACAUGUGUUUUUGUGUGUAGAAAAUCAAUUUCUGUAGAAUCUAAUUGAAAAAACAAGUACAAGUUAUAUUUAUACACUUCAUAGAGGAGUAAAACUGUAAUUAGCCUGCUAAUUUCAACAAAGUAAACUGCAGUACUACAGUUGGAGAUGAACUGAAUUCUAAAGUCUGUAUGGAUGACAUUGUGUGAUGUUUAAUCUGGUCUUGUUGGAGACACUAAAUUCACUGGAUAUGUUAAAAAUACACAGAGCAUUGCUGGGAGCUGUAUGUACAGUAGCAGUAUUUAGUUUGUUUCUCGGGCAGCACACAAACAUGAACAGUUUAGCAAAUCUUAUAUUUAUUUCAGAGAGCCAAAAUAAACCUCUUGAUUCUGUUUGAGUUUGUAGCUGCCACUUCCUAAAUUAGAUUUACAGCUUUCCUUUGUUUCAAUGUUUCAAAAGACACUAAUAUAAGGAAAACACAAGAGGAGAACAUAUGAAGUUAAAAUUGAAUGGGAGGUGAAAGAUGCCAAACUGUCCAUUAAAAUAUGUUUUCACUGAUUCCCGUUGAUUAGACCUCUGCUCAGGUUGAAAGUGGGUGGCGCUAUUCCGUAAAUUAUGAGAUGUGAGAUCCCCUGACUCCAUCUACUAAUAAGAAUGAUGAAAGCUGUCCCUGCCUACCAGGUGCAUCAAAGCUAACAGGAGAAUCCAGGAAAUUUCAAGCACAGUCUGUACAGGCCUACACAGUCCUAAGAAGAGGUCUAAUCAGCCAAAUUCAUUAAAAUCACCUGUGUGCGUUUACAAUGGGUGUGCAGGGCUUUUAAUACAGUAGCUCUGGAGUGUGCAGGACUUUAGGCAAUUUAGGAUUAUUAAGCAGGUAAGAGCUCAGGGUUUAGUUUCAAACACAUCUCAGACUGUUGUAACAUGUUUGGCAAUUUCCCAUCUACCAUAUUAUUCUCUCCACACAAAGCUAAUGUGGGGGAUGGUGGGACAUCGAAUUGUCUAAUUGUUUUUUUAAAUGGUUAUGGUUUAAAAUCGUAUAAACAGUAAAUAGUCCAAGUAAAAUUAUUACAAGUAAAAGAUAAAAAAUAUUAUUAUAAAGACUAUAAUUGUAUAUGAUUAUAGAAAUACUGGUAAUGUCUUUUUUGAUCUCUUUCGAUAUCUGAGGUCUUUUUUCAUGUAGAUGUUUGCCAUAUAGAAUCAAAACAAAACUAAAACCAACACAUUCACCUCAAAUCAUACUAAAAAAGAAAGUGAAGGCUUUCUUCAAUUUCACCAUAAAGGUUCAAACAAAUUCUUCAUUUCUGGAUAUUUCUGUUUUUUUAAAUAUAUUAUAAUUUCUGUCUCUGAGAGUGACUCUUCAUCAGUUUAUUAUCUUCCAGAAAUGUGGGAGUUUCAGAUGAAAUCAGGAACCCAGUGUUAUGUUUGAGAACGUUACUGUCCACCUCACUCAUUAUAACAUUUUCCAAACUGAGCAACUUUGACAUCUGCGGUUCUUCUUGCUGCUGCUUUCUUGUGUUCAGGAGAAACACAGAACAUUGUGGAUGGAUGCAUCUGCCUCGAUGAUUAUGGCUCCACGAAGCAGGACAACCAUAGAGAGCUGACUCAGUCAGAAAUGAUGGCAGCGAUGUUCUGUGGCCUGUAUUUACAACAGCUGCUUUUUGUGUGUGUCAUUAGAAACAUCUGCAUCAAAAGCUGGGGCUGAAAUAUCAAAUUAAAAUCAGUGUGUUUAUUGCCUGAGAACGUCAUUUCA